rnacentral:rRNA from 1 species
UACGGGGGGGCGAAGCGUUGUUCGGAAUUACUGGGCGUAAAGGGUUCGUAGGUGGCUUGUUAAGUCAGACGUGAAAUCCCUCGGCUCAACCGGGGAACUGCGUCUGAGACUGAUGAGCUCGAGUGCAGGAGAGGAACGCGGAAUUCCAGGUGUAGCGGUGAAAUGCGUAGAUAUCUGGAGGAACACCGGUGGCGAAGGCGGCGUUCUGGACUGCAACUGACACUGAGGAACGAAAGCCAGGGGAGCAAACGGG